rnacentral:rRNA from 1 species
CCUACGGGCGGCAGCAGUGAGGAAUAUUGGUCAAUGGGCGGGAGCCUGAACCAGCCAAGUCGCGUGAGGGAAGACGGUCCUAUGGAUUGUAAACCUCUUUAGGCGGGGAGCAAUGCCGGGCACGCGUGCCCUGAGGGAGAGUACCCGCAGAAUAAGCAUCGGCUAACUCCUUGCCAGCAGCCGCGGUAAUCCGGAGGAUGCGAGCGUUAUCCGGAUUUAUUGGGUUUAAAGGGUGCGUAGGCUGUGAGGUAAGUCAGCGGUGAAAUGCCCCCGCUCAACGGGGUGAAGUGCCAUUGAUACUGCCGUGCUGGAAUGCGGAUGCCGUGGGAGGAAUGUGUGGUGUAGCGGUGAAAUGCAUAGAUAUCACACAGAACACCGAUUGCGAAGGCAUCUCACGAAGCCGCGAUUGACGCUGAUGCACGAAAGCGUGGGUAUCAAACAGGAUUAGAUACCCCAGUAGUC